rnacentral:rRNA from 1 species
UAGGGAAUAUUAGUAAUGGGCGAAAGCCUGAACUAGCAACGCCGCGUGUGCGAUGAAGGCCUUCGGGUUGUAAAGCACUUUUUGAGAGGAUGAGGAAGGACGGUACUCUCAGAAUAAGUCUCGGCUAACUACGUGCCAGUAGCCGCGGUAACACGUAGGAGGCGAACGUUAUCCGGAUUUACUGGGCGUAAAGCGCGUGUAGGUGGUUUGGUAAGUAGGGCGUGAAAGCUCCUGGCUCAACUGGGAGAGGCCGUUCUAAACUGCCGAACUAGAGGAUGGUAGAGGGAGGUGGAAUUCCGGGUGUAGCGGUGGAAUGCGCAGAUAUCCGGAGGAACACCAGUGGCGAAAGCGGCCUCCUGGACCAUUCCUGACACUCGGACGCGAAAGCUAGGGUAGCAAACGG